AACAUAACAUGAUUAACUCCCAAGUCAGUGUCAGCUACACGUUGGGAGAGUCGUGUUGACAGUGUUAAAGCUAUUUGACUUCAAUGUGCAGACAUUCGGGAGGCCCUACUUCAGGUAUCUGAGACUGAUAAUGAUACAAAAAAGAUCAGUGAGGCUAAAGGUUUGACAAAUAAUGAAUUUGGAUAGUAUGAUUUCAUAGUGGCGAUAGUUAUUUGGUAUGAGGUAUUGUAUGCUGUUAAUUUAGUAAGCAAACACCUGCAAGCAAAGGAUAUGCUUAUUGAUGUUGCUAUUGAGAAAGUGCAAGGAUUGCUUUCUUUCUUGAAUGGGUAUAGGGAGACUGUGUUUUUAGAAGCAUUGGAGAUAGCCAAAGGAAUUGCAUUUGAGAUGGAUAUUGGUACAACAUUUAGCAAAAGACGAGAAAUUAAUAGAAAGAGGCAUUUUGAUGAGAACCCAGAUGACAUGGAUGUUGCCACAGAGUGUGCAGAGGAAUCAUUCAAAGUCAACUAUUUUUAACAUAUUGUUGAUCAAGUAAUUCUCUCACCUACAAGCUGAUUUGACCAAUAUCAGGGUUACCAGAAAAUAUUUGGUUUCUUGUUUACCUCCGAAACAUUGCAGUCAUUGGAUAAGAAUAGCUUGGAAAGUUCUUGUGACAAUCUUGAGGUUUCUCUUAAAAAGGAUGGUAAAUCUGAGAUUGAUGCUAAUGAACUUUAUGCGGAGUUGAUGUUUCUUCAAAAUUUCAUGCCAAAGGAAAAUCUUGGGCCAGUUGAAAUUCUAAAGUUUUUAAAGUGGCAUGAUUGUUUCCCCAAUGCAAGUAUUGCAUAUAGAUUGUUGACUAUCCCUGUGACUGUUGCUUCGGCAGAACGGAGCUUUUCUAAAUUGAAGUUAUUGAAGUCCUAUAUGCGCAAUACCAUGGCACAACAAAGUCUCACUGAUUUGGCCACAAUGGCACUAGAGAGUGAUCUAUUGGAGAAGGUUGAUUAUGAGGAUAUUAUUGAAUAUUUUAUUACAAAGAACACUAAAAGAAUGAUGUUCUUUAAGUGA
rnacentral:rRNA from 1 species